rnacentral:rRNA from 1 species
UCAAGUUAUUAAGGGUGCAGGGCGGAUGCCUUGGCACUAGGAGCCGAUGAAGGACGUGAUAAGCUGCGAUAAGCUUCGGGGAGUUGCACGUAAACUUUGAUCCGAAGAUUUCCGAAUGAGGAAACUCACUUAGAGUAAUGUCUAAGUAUCAUUAAGUGAAUACAUAGCUUAAUGAGGGGAACUCAGGGAACUGAAACAUCUAAGUACCUGAAGGAAGAGAAAGAAAUUCGAUUCCGUAAGUAGCGGCGAGCGAACGCGGAUUAGCCCAAACCAAUAAAGUUUUCUUUAUUGGGGUUGCGGACAUAUCAUAACGAAGAGGUAUCGUAAUUGAAGAGGUUUGGAAAGACCCACCACAGAAGGUAAUAGUCCUGUAUGUUAAACGAGAAGACUUUAGAUAUGAUCCAGAGUACCACGGGACACGUGAAACCCUGUGGGAAGCAGGAGGGACCACCCUCCAAGGCUAAAUACUACCUAGUGACCGAUAGCGUAUAGUACCGUGAGGGAAAGGUGAAAAGAACCCCGGGAGGGGAGUGAAAUAGAACCUGAAACCCUGCACUUACAAGCUGUGGAAGCACAUUUCUUGUGUGACCGCGUACUUUUUGUAGAACGGGCCAACGAGUUACGUUAAGUAGCAAGGUUAAGCACUUAAGGUGCGGAGCCGUAGCGAAAGCGAGUUUUAACUGAGCGUUCAGUUACUUGACGUAGACCCGAAACCGGGCGACCUACCCAUGAGCAGGAUGAAGCGAAAGUAAAAUUUCGUGGAGGUCCGAACCCACGAGCGUUGAAAAGCUCGGGGAUGACUUGUGGGUAGCGGUGAAAUUCCAAUCGAGCCCGGAGAUAGCUGGUUCUCCCCGAAAUAGCUUUAGGGCUAGCCUCAAGGUGAGAGAUACGGAGGUAGAGCACUGAAUGUCCUAGGGGGUAUUGCACCUACCGAAGACUAUCAAACUCCGAAUGCCGUCAUCUUAUACUUGGGAGUCAGACUGUGGGUGAUAAGAUUCAUAGUCGAAAGGGCAACAGCCCAGAUCGUCAGCUAAGGUCCCUAAAUGUAAGUUAAGUGGUAAAGGAUGUGGGAUUGCACAGACAACCAGGAUGUUGGCUUAGAAGCAGCCACUCAUUCAAAGAGUGCGUAAUAGCUCACUGGUCGAGUGAUCCUGCGCCGAAGAUUUCCGGGGCUAAAACUUACUACCGAAGCUACGGCAUCAGUAAUGAUGGGUAGGGGAGCUUCCCAUACGGGUUGAAGCAUGACCGUAAGGACAUGUGGACAGUAUGGGAGUGAGAAUGUUGGCAUGAGUAGCGAGAUGUGGGUGAGAAUCCCACAGGCCGUAAACCCAAGGUUUCCAGGGGAAGGUUCGUCCACCCUGGGUUAGUCGGGACCUAAGCUGAGGCCGAAAGGCGUAGGUGAUGGACAACAGGUUGAUAUUCCUGUACUACCGAUAACCGUUUGAGAGAAGGGAUGACACAGUAGGAUAAGCUAAGCACACUGUUGGUUAUGUGUGCCCAAGCAUUGAGGCAGUCAAAGUAGGCAAAUCCGCUUUGAUAAUGCUGGGAUGUGAUGGGGAGCGAAAUUUAGUAGCGAAGUAGCUGAUUUCACACUGUCAAGAAAAGUCUCUAUCGAGGUUAAAGGUACCCGUACCGCAAACCGACACAGGUGGGUGAGGAGAGUAUCCUAAGGCCAGCGAGAGAACUGUUGUUAAGGAACUCGGCAAAAUGACCCCGUAACUUAGGGAUAAGGGGUGCCACCAUCAGGUGGCCGCAGAGAAUAGGCCCAAGCGACUGUUUACCAAAAACAUAGGUUUCUGCUAAGUCGCAAGACGAUGUAUAGGAGCUGACGCCUGCCCGGUGCUGGAAGGUUAAGGGGAUCUGUUAGAGCAAUCGAAGCAGUGAACUUAAGCCCCAGUAAACGGCGGCCGUAACUAUAACGGUCCUAAGGUAGCGAAAUUCCUUGUCGGGUAAGUUCCGACCCGCACGAAAGGCGUAACGAUUUGGGCACUGUCUCAACAACAGACUCGGUGAAAUUGUAAUUCCGGUGAAGAUGCCGGAUACCUGCGACAGGACGGAAAGACCCCAUGGAGCUUUACUGUAGCUUGACAUUGGGUCUUGGUACUACAUGUACAGGAUAGGUGGGAGGCUUUGAAACCAGGACGCCAGUUUUGGCGGAGCCAUCCUUGGGAUACCACCCUUGUAGUACUGGGACUCUAACCAUAGGCCAUGAAUCUGGUCUUGGGACACUGUCAGGUGGGCAGUUUGACUGGGGCGGUCGCCUCCCAAAAGGUAACGGAGGCGCUCAAAGGUUCUCUCAGUACGGUCGGAAAUCGUACGUAGAGUGUAAAGGCAAAAGAGAGCUUGAUUGCAAGACAUACAGGUCGAGCAAGGAUGAAAAUCGGACUUAGUGAUCCGGUGGUUCUGCGUGGAAGGGCCAUCGCUCAACGGAUAAAAGCUACCCUGGGGAUAACAGGCUUAUCUCCCCCAAGAGUCCACAUCGACGGGGAGGUUUGGCACCUCGAUGUCGGCUCAUCACAUCCUGGGGCUGUAGUAGGUCCCAAGGGUUGGGCUGUUCGCCCAUUAAAGUGGUACGCGAGCUGGGUUCAGAACGUCGUGAGACAGUUCGGUCCCUAUCCGUCGCAGGCGUAGGAAAUUUGAGAAGACCUGUCCUUAGUACGAGAGGACCGGGAUGGACGUACCUCUGGUGUACCAGUUGUCCUGCCAAGGGCAUGGCUGGGUAGCUAUGUACGGAAUGGAUAAGCGCUGAAAGCAUCUAAGCGCGAAGCCAACUUCAAGAUAAGAUUUCCCACCGCAAGGGUAAGACCCCAGAAAGACUAUCUGGUUGAUAGGUCGAAGGUGUAAGUGCAGCAAUGUAUUUAGCUUAUCGAUACUAAUAGGUCGAGGACUUGACCAA